GGAGUUAGCCGGUGCUUCUUCUGUGAGUGAUGUCCUUCCUGCCGGCUAUUAACCCGCAGGCCUUCUUCCUCACUGAAAGUGCUUUACAACCCGAAGGCCUUCUUCACACACGCGGCAUGGCUGGAUCAGGGUUGCCCCCAUUGUCCAAUAUUCCCCACUGCUGCCUCCCGUAGGAGUCUGGGCCGUGUCUCAGUCCCAGUGUGGCUGAUCAUCCUCUCAGACCAGCUACGGAUCGUCGCCUUGGUGAGCCGUUACCUCACCAACCAGCUAAUCCGACAUAGGCUCAUCCGAUAGCGCGAGGCCCGAAGGUCCCCCGCUUUCCCCCGUAGGGCGUAUGCGGUAUUAGCCUGGGUUUCCCCAGGUUAUCCCCCACUACCGGGCAGAUUCCUAUGCAUUACUCACCCGUCCGCCGCUCGCCACCAGGGAGCAAGCUCCCCGUGCUGCCGCUCGACUUGCAUGUGUUAGGCCUGCCGCCAGCGUUCAUCUGAGCCAUGAUACAAACUACUGA
rnacentral:rRNA from 1 species